UACGAAGGGGGCUAGCGUUGUUCGGAAUCACUGGGCGUAAAGCGCACGUAGGCGGACCUAUAAGUCAGGGGUGAAAUCCCGGGGCUCAACCUCGGAACUGCCUUUGAUACUGGAGGUCUCGAGACCGGAAGAGGUGAGUGGAAUUCCUAGUGUAGAGGUGAAAUUCGUAGAUAUUAGGAAGAACACCAGCGGCGAAGGCGGCUCACUGGCCCGGUUCUGACGCUGAGGUGCGAAAGCGUGGGGAGCAAACAGG
rnacentral:rRNA from 1 species